rnacentral:rRNA from 1 species
CCUACGGGGGGCUGCAGUGGGGAAUAUUGGACAAUGGGGGCAACCCUGAUCCAGCCAUGCCGCGUGUGUGAAGAAGGCCCUCGGGUUGUAAAGCACUUUCAGUGAGGAAGAACGCCUGGUGGUUAAUACCCAUCAGGAAAGACAUCACUCACAGAAGAAGCACCGGCUAUCUCCGUGCCAGCAGCCGCGGUAAUACGGAGGGUGCGAGCGUUAAUCGGAAUUACUGGGCGUAAAGCGCGCGUAGGUGGCUUGAUAAGCCGGUUGUGAAAGCCCCGGGCUCAACCUGGGAACGGCAUCCGGAACUGUCAAGCUAGAGUGCAGGAGAGGAAGGUAGAAUUCCCGGUGUAGCGGUGAAAUGCGUAGAGAUCGGGAGGAAUACCAGUGGCGAAGGCGGCCUUCUGGACUGACACUGACACUGAGGUGCGAAAGCGUGGGUAGCAAACAGGAUUAGAUACCCUUGUAGUC